rnacentral:snRNA from 1 species
AUACUUACCUGGCGGCGAGAACGUACUGAUCAGGAAGGGUACUUCUCCAGGAUGAGGCGUGACAUUGCACUUCGUUCGCGUUGACUCCUUAGGCUUACUCAAAUAGAGUAACGCCUGCCGUGUAAUUUUUGUGUGGGGGGUUUGCGUUCGCGCUGCCCCGUU